UAUUGAUAAUUUAUUAUAAUCGAAAUAAUAUAUUUAUUAUUUUUAAAUAUUAACGCCAUCACAAGGUACACGAUAUAAUAUUAACAAAUAAAACAUAAUAUUGUUAAAACUAAAUAUUCAUCACAAAUUAUAAUACGAAUUAUAUACUCAUACCAUAUACAUUAUGUACAGAGAAGUACCAAAGGCAGAUAGUAAAUUUGAACGCACUCACAACCCAAGAUGUAAUGCAAAUUUUUUUGAAAUCAUCACACAUAGUUGGAUUUCAAAUCUAUUAAAGAUAGGACGACUCAGAGAUUUAAAUGAGACGGAUUUGUAUACGACAUUAGACGACCAAAAAUCAUCAACAUUAGGCGAUAAAUUGGAAAAAUAUGGAGAUCAGAGUUAGCCAAUGCGUAUUCGAUGAAUCGAAAGCCAAAAUUGUUGAGAGCUUUGCUACGAAUGUUUGGUGCUAAAUUAAUGCUAUACGGAUUAAUGUAUUGCAUAACUGAAAUUAUUUUCAAUAUGUCUCAACCUAUAUUAAUUGGUGAACUAUUAGCAUAUUUCAAUCCUAAUCAUUCAAAAGAUACUGAUAUAAAAUAUGCAUACCUAUGUUCAUCAGGUAUAGUAUUCAGCAUAUUCAUGACAAUUAUCUUUUACUAUUACACAUAUGAAGAAACCAUGAACGAAACAAUGAAUGUGCGAGUUGCUUGCUGUUCUUUAAUCUACAGAAAGGUAAACAUACAAAUAUUCUUUAAAUUAUAUGUAAAUAUAUUAAUUUUAAUAUUUGAUACAACAAUAUUAUAUAUAUACAUACAUAUUACAUAU